GAUGGUGUAGGUUGCAGCAAUUCCCCUGCAGAGUGGCCGGUAGUGAUAGAGAAGAGCUGUGAUACUCUAUUCAACUGUUUCAUGACCACCAUUAAAGAGGGCCUGAGGGCAGGGGGAGGGAUCAGUGAUGUCCUCAGGAAACCAUCUAGUCAGGACCGUCUGUAUCACCUGCGGACGGCCUUUGAUCUCACCUUCUUUUUCAUCGUCAUAGUGAUUAUCAUCCAGAACAUCAUCUUUGGUGUCAUUAUCGACACCUUUUGCUGCCCUUAGGGCGGAGAAGGACCACAAGGAAGAUGUGCUCAAGAACACAUGCUUCAUCUGUGGUCUCCCGCGAGGUGCCUUUGAGAACAAGGACGUGACGUUCCACAAACACAUCAUUCAGGAGCACAACGUUUGGCACUACCUCUACUUUAUAGUGCACCUCAAGACCAAAGACACCACUGAGUUCACUGGACCAGAGAGCUACGUAUUCAAGAUGAUACAGCCUUCAUUCAACAUCAUCAAUGCUGAAUAUGCUAUUGAGAGUGAUGCUAGGUCAGGCUCCUCUUCACAAGGAAAAGCUCUGGACUUGGAAUGAUUUCCACGAUUGCGAUGUAUGUCGCUACUAAAUCCUGAAGAGGUUGAACAGGAGCAGUACGAAAUGAGAGACCUUCAACUGCAGUUACUCGAGACCAACAUGCUCAUUAAGAGCCUGUCAGUCCAGCUCAACGACCUCAAAGAGCAGAUGAUAGCUCAGCGAAAGAUGCAACAACACAGAACGCUGCAAGACCGGUUACCAGGCAACGCUCCACAACAUGUUCGAAUGUCAUCUUAUCCAAUGGGACCCUAGUACUUAUUCUUCUUAUUUGUCCAAUUUGAUUUUGUCAUCGUAUAAUUAUUGUGAUGAACUUGUAGAUUAACAAC